AAAGCGUGCGCGGGUAACGUGGCGCGCGGAUAUCGAAGCGAGGAGCGUUGAAAAGGCGGAUCAUUCUAUAUUUCCUUUCAGUCUCAGACUCUCAUCGUCGACAUCGUAUCUCGUGACGCCCAACAAUGACUAGUUACCACAUUGCCCACCGCCAAGACUACCCUCCUCCAGGGCAAGGAUCUGCCUAUCCUCCCCCUCCCCCUCCGCCGGACCCCUCCUGGCGGCCGCCUCCUUACGAAGGUUAUCCGACGCCCGUGUAUUCCGGAUACCCUCCGCCGCGGCCUCCUCAGCGUCCCCAGUAUCAAGGGUACCAGGGUUAUUUCAAUGACCAGUAUCAACAACCUCCUCAACCAUAUCCCAGUCACUAUCAUCAACACCAUGAGACCGACUGUCAUUCCGUCUUGCGAGGCUGGACUCGAGUUCCAAUUCAUAAAUUACAAUGCGAUGAUCAAGCAUUGUAAUUCAUGACAAAUUACUGUGAUAAUUAAGGCGAUGCUUCUUCCCAUUGAGUCUGAUAUUCUAAACAAGCUACGAUGGCCAGCUUGGCAGCACUCUGUUGCUGCUGUGUGCUAGAGGAGUGUUGUUUUUGAUAGUCACGUUUAUAAAAUGAUAAUGAGCCGUUUCUGCAGUUGUGUUACGGCACUCCUCUGAGAAGUGUGGGAUACCGGGAAUCCGGGAUCUGUCGUUUUUAUCGUCCUUGUUCGGUCAGUGCUGUUAUGUCUAUAGGCCAUGAUUUGGUUUGUCCAAGGGGCCUAUAUAUAUGUGUAUAUAUCAUCGCAUGCAAGCUUGAUAUGCAGUCCGAUAUCAACUUACAUGUUCAGAGGAUCUCCAUUUAGCUAAUAUGAAGCACACACGCACAGACAGAUUAUAAUAUACUAUUAUAUAUUUCACCUGUUCUUUCUCGGAA